rnacentral:rRNA from 1 species
AGUGGCGGACGGGAGCGUAAUGCAUCGCUAACGUGCCCCGCGGACGGGGAUAGCCGGCCGAAAGGCCGGGUAAUACCCGAUGACAUACCCUGGUCAUAUGGCCGGGGUCUCAAAGGCCGUAAGGCGCCGUGGGAGCGGGCGAUGUCGUAUCAGGUAGUUGGCGGGGUAACGGCCCACCAAGCCUACGACGCGUAGCUGGUCUGAGAGGACGGCCAGCCUCAUCGGGACUGAGACACUGCCCGGACUCCUACGGGGGGCUGCAGUAACGAAUCUUCCGCAAUGCGCGAAAGCGUGACGGAGCGACGCCGCGUGCAGGACGAAGUCCUUCGGGAUGUAAACUGCUGUCAGGGGCUACCAAGUUCUGAGGGGCCCCGGAGGAAGGCACGGCUAACUCUGUGCCAGCAGCCGCGGUAAGACAGAGGUGCCAAGCGUUAGGCGGAAUCACUGGGCUUAAAGCGCGUGUAGGCGGACCGUUAAGUGCCUUGUGAAAUCCCCCGGCUCAACCGGGGAAUGGCUGGGCAUACUGGCGGUUCUUGAGGCAUUCAGGGGCAGCCGGAACUGACGGUGGAGCGGUGAAAUGCGUAGAUAUCGUCAGGAACGCCGAAGGCGAAAGCAGGCUGCUGGGGAUGCUCUGACGCUGAGACGCGAAAGCCAGGGGAGCAAACGGGAUUAGAUACCCCGGUAGUCCUGGCCCUAAACG